rnacentral:rRNA from 1 species
UACGGAGGGGGCAAGCGUUGUUCGGAAUUACUGGGCGUAAAGGGCGCGUAGGCGGCGACCCAAGUCAGAUGUGAAAGUCCUGGGCUUAACCUGGGGACUGCAUUUGAUACUGGGUUGCUUGAAUUCGGGAGAGGAUAGCGGAAUUCCCAGUGUAGAGGUGAAAUUCGUAGAUAUUGGGAAGAACACCGGUGGCGAAGGCGGCUAUCUGGACCGACAUUGACGCUGAGGCGCGAAAGCGUGGGGAGCAAACAGG